rnacentral:rRNA from 1 species
GGGACAACCAGCCGAAAGGUUGGCUAAUACCGCAUGAGUUCUACGGAAGAAAGAGGGGGACCCGCAAGGGCCUCUCGCGAGCGGAGCGGCCGAUGACUGAUUAGCCGGUUGGUGAGGUAACGGCUCACCAAAGCAACGAUCAGUAGCUGGUCUGAGAGGACGACCAGCCACACUGGGACUGAGACACGGCCCAGACUCCUACGGGAGGCAGCAGUGGGGAAUUUUGGACAAUGGGCGCAAGCCUGAUCCAGCUAUUCCGCGUGUGGGAUGAAGGCCCUCGGGUUGUAAACCACUUUUGUAGAGAACGAAAAGACACCUUCGAAUAAAGGGUGUUGCUGACGGUACUCUAAGAAUAAGCACCGGCUAACUACGUGCCAGCAGCCGCGGUAAUACGUAGGGUGCGAGCGUUAAUCGGAAUUACUGGGCGUAAAGGGUGCGCAGGCGGUUGAGUAAGACAGAUGUGAAAUCCCCGAGCUUAACUCGGGAAUGGCAUAUGUGACUGCUCGACUAGAGUGUGUCAGAGGGAGGUGGAAUUCCACGUGUAGCAGUGAAAUGCGUAGAUAUGUGGAAGAACACCGAUGGCGAAGGCAGCCUCCUGGGACAUAACUGACGCUCAGGCACGAAAGCGUGGGGAGCAAACAGGAUUAGAUACCCU